UACAGAGGUCCCGAGCGUUGUUCGGAUUCACUGGGCGUAAAGGGUGCGUAGGUGGUGAGGAAAGUCGGAUGUGAAAUCUCCAAGCUCAACUUGGAAAUGGCAUCGGAAACUACCUUGCUGGAGGUUUGGAGGGGGGACUGGAAUUCUCGGUGUAGCAGUGAAAUGCGUAGAUAUCGAGAGGAACACCAGUGGCGAAGGCGAGUCCCUGGACAAAACCUGACACUGAGGCACGAAAGCUAGGGGAGCAAACAGG
rnacentral:rRNA from 1 species